rnacentral:rRNA from 1 species
CACGUAGGCGGUUUCUUAAGUCGGGGGUGAAAUCCUGGAGCUCAACUCCAGAACUGCCUUUGAUACUGGGAGACUUCGAGUCCGGGAGAGGUGAGUGGAACUGCGAGUGUAGAGGUGAAAUUCGUAGAUAUUCGCAAGAACACCAGUGGCGAAGGCGGCUCACUGGCCCGGUACUGACGCUGAGGUGCGAAAGCGUGGGGAGCAAACA